GAUUCUGUGUCUCCCUCUCUCUCUCUGCCCCUCCCCCGUUCACGCUCUGUCUCUCUCUGUCUCAAAAAGAAAUAAAACAUUACAAAAAUUUCAAAAUAAACAAACUAAAUAAAUAGACACAGGCACGUCCCGAAGGGUUCCCGCAGGCUGGUGACAGCAUCCUUCCGGUGUCAAAACCACAGUGACUGACACAGAGUCAAGCACCCAAGUGCACGGCCAAACCCUCACGCUCAUAACCGUGCUGACAGCGCGUGUGGCUUUUUGGAGGUUGCGGCUCAGAAGGACAAACACUGGGUGUCCCCUCGCCCUUUUAUUCACCAUUUAUUGGACCCCCAACGGGAGUCUAUAGUUUUAUGGAAACUAUAAAGGACCAGAGCUGAGCCUCACAGAAGGAACGAGAUCCCACAGGCACUGCCGCGCAAUCCCCAUCUCGGAUACGGCUCAUCAGCACGCAGCUGAGCCCCGCGUGGAGGCAAGCGGGGCCCUCACAGCGGAUGCAGCCGACGACAUCCCGACUUGCCACUCGGGCCGGGCUGGGCUUGGCCUUAAAUCCUCCGGUGGCGGGAGUGGGGUGGGCCCGGGGGGCGGGAUCCAUGCUGCACCUUCCCAGCUGCCCGGCGGGUUUGAGGACGGGAGGCAGAUGGCUUUGGGGGGGAAUGCAGGGACCUCUACUCAAGUGGCCGGUGAGUCGAGAGGGAAGAGGCAUAGUGUGACAAAACACGCCUGAACGAUAAAGGGUAAACCGGACACCAGCAGGGGCCCAGUGUUAAUUUUUACACGGUUACAUCGGAACCGCGAUACGUGGUCUCGCAACUGCUCUGCCAAUUAGGGGUCAAGAAGGCGACAGCAAAACGAUUCACUGUCCUCCGGUCACUGGAGUAAAAUGGACGUGCUAACGACCUGUGGGAUGUCCCCUCCUGGCUCUCUCGCAGGCCCAGGGCAGGACGGAGGACGUGAGCCGGCAUCACGGACUUCGGCCGGGCGCUAAGAGCCGUGUGGUCGCAGGCGAGCCCGUUCAAGGACGACGGCGUCCCUGUGCAGCUCACGCUACUCUGAACGCUGGGCACGUCAGCCCGUCCGGUGUCAUCAUCAACGGUUCUGAGUUCUCAGCCAGUGAGACGGCCACUUGGUGUCUGGUUUCUGUCUGACUUUCGACAAAUUUCUUAAACGAUUUGAGUCUUUUUUGAAGUCUGCAAAACACGUUAAAGUCUCGGAGGGUUUUCACAAACAUCGGGGUCAGAGCAGGCACAGCGCAGACCCCGCGGGCGUUCACUCUCGCCCCGUCGAGGGAGGGAGACGGGACGCGGCCUUUCUGAGCCUCAGGACUCAACCCCCGUGGCCGAGGUCCAAGAAAGACCACCGGGAGGCACAGCCUCGGCGAGGCGCUCUGCUCGGGCUUCCCUGGCGCCCUUGGCAAGGCCCCCCCUCCUCCGCAACCGGCACCUCUGCCUCCCAACUGCCAUCUGUUCGAGUUUUCUAGCCGCGCUCCGUGCCUUCUGCCCACCGAGAGCCAGCUCGGUGAGGGAGCACGGGAACCCCAUGUCCUCGCCCGCGAGGCCCACCCUGGGCCGGCGGUGACUCGUGGCUUUCGGGGUGGGAACCGGAGAACCGCGAGCCCAGCUGGGCGCUGGCGGACGGAGGGCGGUGCCAUCUCCCGCCCGUGCUGGGCGCCAGCUCUGGGGUUCAGGCGGAACCUCAUUCCUGGCAAAGCGCAGCCGCCCGCGGCCCGGGGACGCCGGCCUCCGGCCCUGCCGCCCGCCCGGAGUUUUCAGGUGCCGGGAACGAUGUCCGACCACUUCCCGCAGCUGCCUGUGGUCCUGGGGGGGGGGGGUGGGGGGCACCUCGCUUCCUUUCCCAGCCCUCUGGCUAGCAGGGCCUCCCUAAAGGGCCCGAUGACAUCACUGUGUGAAACGAAAACAAAGCUCCCAGGCACAGAUGAAUUUUCCAUCUGCCGUUUCUGUGACGCCCACGAGGCAGAAGGGUCCACGACCUCCUGUGCGACCCGGAGCGCGCCAGCGCUCUGAAACUCCGCCGGGAAGGCCUCCCUCCCCCGGGCCCGCGCCGGCUCCUCAGAAGACCGUUCAGUCCUCCAGAUCAACGUGGGCCGGAAACGGGGAAAGCCGAGGGCGGCCGGCGGGCUUCCCCACCCACCUGCUGCGGGACCCGUCCACCCACGUGCAGGCUGCUUAGUCAGCACCCUGUCCAGACCCCCCCACCCUGCAGGCAGGGCUCCGUCCCGUCGUGAGGGCAUCCCCGACCCCAGCCCAGACGCUUGGCCCCCGCCCCCCUUGUUCCCAGAAGAGGGCGCUUUCCGCGCCGGAGCGGUCAGGCCCGAACAGGCGAACGUGACACGCGGACUCUCCUGCCCCGGAGAGCCGCCCGAGCGGUGCAGCCAACAGGCCCCGGCUGCCCAUCCUCUUGACUCCUGACUCACGGGCGGCGGUCCGGCAUCGGCCCCAACGGUGGGCAGACGGUCGCCUGGCAGGACAGGUUCUCGGCACCCGUGUCUCCUUCUCGCCGACCCCACGUCUGUGGAAACGCACCCGAGCCGUCGGCCCCCGCAGUGGAUCGCGGGCGUCCACCUCCGACUCCUAAGGAGCCAGGGGCGGUGCUGACGCUCCCGCGCUUGGCUGCUCUGGGCGGCUGGCCUGGGAGGGGAGCGGGUGCCCUGGGAAGCGCUGUGAGGCUCGGCGCGGCGGUGCUUGUGGCGGCGAACGCGCCGCAGGCUGCUGACGUGCUGGGCCGGGGUCGGAGGCAGUGGGUUUCACACCGGCUUCCCGGCCGAGCCAGGAGCCGACCAAGAAGCCACAGCCUGGGCUGCCACGGCCCGGGUCCCCGGGGGCACACGCCUCGCACAAACCCACUUCCACAAAGCCACCCGAGGGUUGGGGAAACGGCGUCACUGUUCAGCAGAGUUGCAAGUGUCAGGAAAACUUGCAGCACGCUUUGAAACGCCGACGACGUGCGCAGCCCGACGCUCCGCCCUUGGCCGUCUGGGCUGUUCUCUGCACGACAGGCCGAAGGUAACGGUGCAGGUGGCCCCGGUCCCAGAAACGCAGAGGAGCCAGCGUGCACCAACAGGCCGGCCUCGCGUCCGUCAGCAAAUCCCAGCCGGCAGUCCCGGCUGCCCGAGCGCGGGGCUCUGAGAUCGCCUCCGAGUUCUCGAGUUACAGUCCUUGACGUGUGUGCAUUUUGUGGUGGUUUGAGUCAGAAUCUGGUAAAAAGGACCCUUUGGCUCCUUUAAGCAUUAAGUCAUUUAAGCAUCCAACUUCACCUCAGGUCCUGAUCUCACAGUUCAGAGCAUCGGGCUCUGUGCUGACAGCUCAGAGCCUGGAGCUGCUUCGGAUUCUGUGUCUCCCUCUCUCUCUGCCCCUCCCCCACUCACACUCCGUCUCUCUCAAAAAUAAAUAAACAUCACAAAAAACUUAAAGGACCUUUUCCAUCAGGGCACUAGAGCAGGCACAGCGGGGACCUGAGCCCAGGUCAGGCAGCUCUACCCGAGGAGACAGGAGAGCAAGCUGUGCCUCUCGGUCCUGGAUCACAUGCCUAACGUCUCAUCUGUUCAACCGCCACACUGGAGACGAGGACCGAGGAGAAAAUCGACCGAACCAGCUCACUCUGCUCCCAAACCCAGCAGCAGCCCCACAGCAGGCGCCCCCCACGUUGAGAGCACGGACACCGAGCUCGGGCUCCACCCAAAGGCCUCGGCUCCUCAGGGCCGUGCUGGGAACUGCCCCCGCGAAAGAUGAAAGGCUCCCAGAUGCCAUCAAGCGUUCUAGAAGAAACGCAUCACCUUUGAAAGCUCCAGGACAGCCUUUCAAUACAGGGAUACAGGGGCGUAACUAACCAGCCAGCCGCAGGAAAAAAUCCUACAGAGAUUCCAGACGGGAACGUCUUGGGGGCGCCCAGCCCCAUGCCUUUCCGACGACGGACGAUCGAUCGGGCCCUGUGGUUUCCAAUGCGGUGCUCUCUCCCCCGCGGGUGGCGAGCCUGGGGCCCGUCCUCGGUCUCGAGCAGGAGGGCUCCAGAGGAGGAGCCAGUGAGCUCGGACGGGAAACAAUCACGCCUUCGUCCUCACGGCCCUGUACUGAAACGGAGCAUCUGCAGGUACGAGUGUCCGUCCCAAAGCGCAGAAGGGUCGGCGGUGCCCGGGACUUAGCACCCCGCGGGCUUACUGCUGACCCCACAGAUGCCGCCCGGCCCCACGAGGCUGCAGGCUCAGAAUGGGGGGGGGCGGCCUCUCCAACUCCGUGGGAGCCUGUGUGGAACCCUGACUUGUUUUCCGGGAUAUGUGUGCUGCAGCCGGCCUGGCUCCUCUCACGCCCAGAGCACGGGUGUUCUCGGACACGUUUGAGAUCUUCACUCCAGAAGGGGUCGGGGGCACCGUGAUGGUCAGGAACCUCCGAUCCAGCGGGGAUGCCACAGCACUGCUGCACGGGGCGGCACGGGGUGGCACGGGGCCUCACGGGACAGCACGGGGCCUGAAGGGGACAGCACAGGGCCUGCACGGGCCCAGGAAUGAAAAUCUCCUGGACGCCACACCUGGGUGCAGAAUGCCCUCGGCGGCCCUUCUGGAAGGUGGCCGGCGGCGUGUGCAGGGCAGUCCCCUGUCCCCAGACAGACCUAGCAGCACAAGGCAGGCCAACCUGGGGAGAGCGGCACAGAACGUGGGCCGCCGUGUUCCCUCCUCCUCGCAUCACAGUCGCAAUGCCGGGGAGAGGCCACCGACGGCGACAGGAUGCUGUUCCAAAAGGCUCACCAAUGCUCACGGAGGAGAGAGGGCUCUGAGCCCGAGAUAACAGAGCUCACCUCCAAUCAGCCUGUCGGAGCCUGCUGGGUCGGAGAUUAAGGCCCAGAGAGGUUAAGGAGCUCCCCCGAGCCCACACAGUAGAGAGCGUCAAAACCAGGCCUCAGGCCAGGCUCCGGGCCCCACGUGGACCACCCCUCUCCGCUGAGGGGCCUUUUCCCAGGCCAGACGCCCCAUCACUCAUCUGGAUUCUGCUGCCCCGGGGCCGGGUGGAGAAGCAGGGCCAGGUGUGGGCAGAAAGCCUGGCUCAGGCCAAGACCCCCUCAGGGAGGAAAAGGAGCCGCCUCCGUGGAGAAAUCCGCGGCUAAGCCACCACAGGCGGGGACACAGCCUCACCGUCGCCAGCAGGGUGACCGUCCGCCCUCCGGAGGCCAGAGAGACACCUUUAGAGCUGGGGACCCAGCUCGUCCCCUCUGAGGACGGGGGUGUGGCAGCCGGCACGGGCCGAGGCAGAGUGGAGGACCAGAGCGCCGGGGGUGAAAUCGCUGCUUUGCCGCUCGCCAGCUGGGUGACCUGGGGCAAGUGACCUCUCUGUGCUUCGCUUCCCCCUUCUGUGUCCGGCGCACGACAGGUAAAUAGCCACCGAGCGUGCCCCACUGACGGGAACGCCCAGCCACGUCACUCUACAGGCCUGAGCCUUCAGAACACGCCCCCCCCCCCCCCACGGUCAUUACCGACAACUUCAGAGGUUACGCGUCCGUCACCCAGACUCGGAGACACAGAGUCCCCAAGGAAGUCCGGCAGGACCAACACCUUCUCGGGCGAGUCCCACUCGCCCCGUCACCGCCGAUGGGAAGGAAGUGGGGGCGCACGAUCAGCUCUCUCCCGGCCGCGUGCUCCCGUAUCCCAUGCUGACGGAGGACGCCGGAGUUGUUUCCAGUCUUUUGCUGUCAGGAACACAGAGGCCACGAAUAUCUGUGUCCACUCUGCACAGAGACAGGCCUCCGUUGCUCUGGGACGGAUGCCCCAAGAGUGUAAUUGCCGGGUGUGUGUUUAGUUUCGGCCAACGUUCGCUCCCGCUCCGUCCCCUCGUAACAGAGUCUGUCAAUGAACCAAAGUUUCUUCAUCCUGAGCGAGUCCCUUUUACGGGCGUCGGCACGUUUCUGAAGGUCCUUUGGCGGGCCACGCUUUAAGCGUCAAGUCUAGGAACUCUGUGCCUGGCUUUCCGUCCCGAACGUUUUCUGUGAUUCCUUCUUCUAAAGUUUCAUAGCUUUUCGCUUUACAUUUAAUCCCUGACCCGUUUUGCGCGCAUUUUUGAAUGAGGCGUCAGGGUAACUGGAGGGUCACUUUCCGCCCCUCGAGGUCCCGCUGUUGGAAGGCUUGCCCUCCCUCCACGGAAUGGCUUUCGGCCUUUAUUAGGAAUCAGCUGGGCGCGUCUGCGCGGGUCUAUUUCGGGGCCUUGAGUGCUGUCCUACCGACCCGUGCACCUGUCCCUCCGUCCACACCACACAGGAAACACACUGCUUCCCCGGGAGCCUCACGUGGUACGUUUCACUGUCCUCUCAUCGACACAGCCUUAACUGCGAGGGAGCCACACGUGUUUUUAACCGAGCCCACGCCACUGCAGACAAAUCAGGGUUAAAGUGAGAAAGGAAGGGCGUGCAGGGUGGCUGGACGGGUGGCCGCCCGGGGUGUAGACCCCAGCUGCUCUUGGGAAGUAACUCUGCUUCGUCCGCCAGGACUCACACACUUCACGCACUAGGCUCGUGCCCCUAAAGGUUUCUGUAACUUUUUCUGAUCACGAAAAUAACGUAUACUUAUGGUAAAUACACUGGAAACUACAGUGAGGUGCAGAAAGGAUCUAAGCGGCCAGAAAUAAACACAGUGGCCGCUUCGGCCACGCUUCCUCCUA